GUGCUGUUUUGGCAGCACAUGCACACAAAUUGGAACAAUACAGAGAAGAUUAGUAAGGCCCCUGUGCAAGGAUGACGUACAAAUUUGUGAGGUAUUCCAUAUAAAA
ensembl:snRNA U6 U6 spliceosomal RNA